AUUAAAUUAGUGCCAGCAAUUGCGGUUAAACUAAUAAUAUGAAGUAAUUAUAAUUAAAUUAUUAAUUAGUGAAUUGAAUAUAAAAAUUAGUGGUAUAAAAAUUUUUUAGUGAAAUAUAAAUUUAUAGAAUAAAAUAAUAAAAAAUUAAUUAAAAAAUUAAAAAAAAAAUUAGGAUUAGAUACCCUAUUAUAAAUAAUAAGUGUAAUUUAUUUAAUAAAUUAAAUGUAUAAACAUUAAAAUAAAAAAAUUUGGGGGAAUUUAAAAUAUUUAGAGGAAUUUGUUUAAUAAUUGAUAAUCCACGAGUGGAAUGACUUAAUUUAAAAUUUUAUAUAUUGUUGUUUAAAUUAUUUUUAAAAAAGAAUAAUUAGAUAAAUUUAAUAAAAUUAUAAUUCAAAUCAAAAUGUAGAAUUAAUAAGAAAAAAAUGAGUUACAGUUUUAAUAAAAUAAUAGAUUAAUGUAUUAAAAUUAAAUAAGUAAAAUGAAUUUAAAAGUAAAUUUAUUAAAAUUGAUAAGUUGAAUAAAAAUUUUAAGUUACUACAAAUUGCCCGUCAUUUUCAAUUAAUUUGAAAAAAGUCGUAACAAAGUAGAUUUACUGGAAAGUGUAUCUA
rnacentral:rRNA from 1 species